GCUCAGUUGGUUAAGCAUCCAACUCUUAAUUUCAGCUCAAGUCAUGAUCUCAGUGUGUGGGUUCGAGCCCCACACUGGGCU
rnacentral:tRNA from 1 species